rnacentral:lncRNA from 1 species
AUUUAAGCAAAACAGUUAACUUCUCUGAAAGAUUUUCCUGAUCUGUAAAACGGGAGUUCAACGGCUGACUUGCAGGGUUUCUGUGUAGAUCAGAGAUGCAUUAAUUUCCCAGGGUAGGGUCUAGCAUGCAGUUGAUGUUCCACUGUCCUUUUCAUUACAGAUGGGAGCAAGCCAACAGAUAGCAAUAGACUCCUGGGAAGUGAAUGCUGACUAGCAUGAGGUGGGAAGACACCCCAGAGAAAAUAUUAUCUACUUCUGCUCAAGGAAAACUGGCAACAUCAAAAAUACAUACUGUGCAGGGAGAGGGGGAAGAUGGCGGAAGAGUAAGACGUGGAGAUCACCUUCCUCCCCACAGAUACAUCAGAAAUACAUCUACACGUGGAACAGCUCCUACAGAACACCCACUGAACGCUGGCAGAAGACCUCAGACCUCCCAAAAGGCAAGAAACUCCCCACGUACCUGGGUAGGGCAAAAGAAAAAAGAAUAAACAGAGACAAAAGAAUAGGGACAGGACCUGCACCAGUGGGAGGGAGCUGUGAAGGAGGAAAGGUUUCCACACACUAGGAAGGCCCUUCUCGGGUGGAGACUGUGGGUGGCGAAGGGGGAAAGCUUCGGCGCCGCGGCAGAGAGCGCAGCAACAGGGGUGCGGACGGCAAAGUGGAGAGAUUCCCACACAGAGGAUUGGUGCUGACCAGCACUCACCAGCCUGAGAGGCUUCUCUGCUCACCCGCUGGUGCGGGCGGGGGCUGGGAGCUGAGGAUCCGGCUUCGGUCGGAGCGCAGGGAGAGGACGGCGGUUGGCAGCAUGCACACAGCCUGCAGGGGGUUAGUGCACCAUGGCUAGCCUGGAGGGAGUCAGGGGAAAGUCUGGACCUGCCGAAGAGGCAAGAGACUUUUUCUUCCCUCUUUGUUUCCUGGUGCACGAGAAGAGGGGAUUAAGAGCACUGCUUAAAGGAGCUCCAGAGACGGGCACGAGCCGAGGCUAUCAGGGCAG